CCUGGCUCAGGAUGAACGCUAGCGGCAUGCCUAACACAUGCAAGUCGAGGGAGGAGCUUUCGGGCUUCGAUCGGCGUACGGGUGCGUAACGCGUAUACAAUCUGCCUUUCACAUAGGGAUAACCCGAAGAAAUUUGGAUUAAUACCUAAUGGUAUAUAGUUGUGGCAUCACAUUUAUAUUAAAGCUGUGGCGGUGAAAGAUGAGUAUGCGUUCUAUUAGCUUGUUGGAGAGGUAACGGCUCACCAAGGCGACGAUAGAUAGGGGUUCUGAGAGGGAUAUCCCCCACACUGGUACUGAGAUACGGACCAGACUCCUACGG
rnacentral:rRNA from 1 species